CCCCCCUUCCUCCACUGGAUUUUCUUUAAAUGUUUACAAAUAAAGAAAAUCCAGUGAAGGAAGGGGGG